UUAUUCAAAGGCUAUGAGGCCAGUCAUGAAGACGGUAUCUGGGUCUAGUAUGGCACUGCUGCUGGAUUCGGUGCUGGUCCAUUCCAGUAACCCUAGAGGGGAUUAAUUUCAGGUAUAGGUCAGUCAGGGUGGUGGAGCAGUUCUUCGGCGACUCUGCCGUCAGUCCUCAUCACGAGCAGCUAAUCUGUGUCCAUGGGAACGGGCUAUGCUCCCAGUCCCAGCAGCACGGUUGGUCUGGGAGUUGAUACUGAAGCUACAGCUAGCAGCUCACCGUUGCCAAGGAGGCGAGGCUGUAAGUGGUAAGGCUUUGCGUCGUAUUUGAUCUGCGCAUUUCAUCUCCAUAUCUUUUGCUAGUAUAGUUUUUAAUGCUUUCCCUACAUUUCUAAUGCUAAUAGCACCUCUAGUUUACAGAUUAGGGUACCAUACCAUCAAUCUGAUGAGUCCCUUGUAGAUUUAGAUUCCCCUGUGUUUAACAAAAUAUAGCAUAUUUGCUAUACACGAUUGGGUAUAAAAGAUUAUUAUAGUGAUUGAAUAGGGAAGGAUUUUUCUGGUCAAUUGUUCCAUUAAUAGUGGAAACAAAAUUUCUACUGGAACAAGUUAAAAUAACUGCACUGUGGGAAUGUGAUGGUUGUUUUGGAGUUGUUUCUUGCUGGGGAUAUUCAAUACAGGUGGCAUCCAGUAUCAGGUACUUGCAUGGAAGUGCAACCUGGGAUCUCUACACCUUCUGUGGAUGGAUAUAUGAUUCUGCAUAUAUAACAAAAAAAUUGACCUUAUCAAGGAGACAAUGGCUACACCUGGUGGGGCUGAGGGUCUGAACACAAUUAAGAGGGUGUGGCAGAUCAGCCCCUGCUUGUGCUGAAGGGGCAGCAACUAGUGUUCGAGGUGUAAUGGUAUUGUUGUUCCAUCAAUGCCUGAUCUCAGUGGGAUUGCCAUGCCUAAAAAGACUGAAGGUGCACUUGCAGUGUAGUGCAAAAGAUCAAUUUUUGGGACAUCACACAAAGUUGGGAAUUUAAAACUUUCCUUGUUUAGGCAUCAUCAGCUGUGGAGAGGAAUUGUAAAUCACUUGAUCCCUGUAAUGCUGCAGGUGUCUAGACUAGACAACACUUCCAAGCAUCUAACUUGGACGCCUGGACAUGGUUUCGAGCAAGACGUGCCAUUAAAGCUGAGGCAAGCCACAUCGACAUUGAUGAGCAGGGUGUGAGGUCUGGUGGGCACGUCAUACCAGACACCAUCUCGGAGAACCUGAAGUCCACCAACGCUGUUGUCUACCAUGAGAAGCGUGAAGAAUGUGCCAUCAGAAUGAGGCUUCAGGCCGA